UAGUCCACGCCGUAAACGAUGGAUGCUAGCCGUUGGGCAGUUUACUGUUCAGUGGCGCAGCUAACGCAUUAAGCAUCCCGCCUGGGGAGUACGGUCGCAAGAUUAAAACUCAAAGGAAUUGACGGGGGCCCGCACAAGCGGCGGAGCAUGUGGUUUAAUUCGAAGCAACGCGCAGAACCUUACCAACCCUUGACAUCCUGUGCUAAUACCAGAGAUGGUAUGUUCCCUUCGGGGACGCAGUGACAGGUGCUGCAUGGCUGUCGUCAGCUCGUGACGUGAGAUGUUCGGUUAAGUCCGGCAACGAGCGCAACCCACGUCCUUAGUUGCCAGCAUUCAGUUGGGCACUCUAAGGAACUGCCCGUGAUAAGCGGGAGGAAGGUGUGGAUGACGUCAAGUCCUCAUGGCCCUUACGGGGUUGGGGCUACACACGUGCUACAAUGGUAGUGACAGUGGAUUAAUCCCCAAAAGCUAUCUCAGUUCGGAUUGUCGUCUG
rnacentral:rRNA from 1 species